UGCCAGCAGCCGCGGUAAUACGGAGGGGACAAGCGCUAUUCGGAUUUAUUGGGCGUAAAGGGCGCGUAGGCGGCUUGAUAAGUCAAAGGUGAAAUCCCUCGGCUCAACCGAGGAACUGCCUUUGAAACUGUCAGGCUAGAGUCCGGGAGAGGGUAGCGGAAUUCCCAGUGUAGCGGUGAAAUGCGUAGAUAUUGGGAGGAACACCAGUGGCGAAGGCGGCUAACUGGAUUAAGACUGACGCUGAGGCACGAAAGCGUGGGGAGCAAACAGGAUUAGAUA
rnacentral:rRNA from 1 species